UUGACCUCGGAUCAGGUGGGGAUACCCGCUAAACUUAAGCAUAUCAAUAAGCGGAGGAAAAGAAACCAACAGGGAUUGCCUCAGUAACGGCGAGUGAAGCGGCAACAGCUCAAAUUUGAAAUCUGGCUCUCUUAGGGUCCGAGUUGUAAUUUGUAGAAGAUGCUUCGGGUGUGGCUCCGGCCUAAGUUCCUUGGAACAGGACGUCAUAGAGGGUGAGAAUCCCGUAUGUGACUGGCGGCCUUCGCCUGUGUGAAGCUCUUUCGACGAGUCGAGUUGUUUGGGAAUGCAGCUCAAAAUGGGUGGUAA
rnacentral:rRNA from 1 species